rnacentral:rRNA from 1 species
UACGGGGGAUGCAAGCGUUAUCCGGAAUUAUUGGGCGUAAAGGGUCCUGAGGUGGCUAGCCAAGUCUAUUGUGAAAUAUCAGGGCUUAACCCUGAACAUGCGGUGGAACUAGAAAGCUUGAGUACAGUAGGGGCGGGAGGGAAUUUCCGGUGGAGCGGUGAAAUGCAUAGAUAUCGGGAAGAACACCAACGGGCGAAAGCACUCCGCUGGGCUGAUACUGAC